UUUUGGACAAUGGGCGCAAGCCUGAUCCAGCUAUGCCGCGUGCAGGAAGAAGGCCUUCGGGUUGUAAACUGCUUUUGUACGGAACGAAACGGUCCUGGUUAAUACCUGGGGCUAAUGACGGUACCGUAAGAAUAAGCACCGGCUAACUACGUGCCAGCAGCCGCGGUAAUACGUAGGGUGCAAGCGUUAAUCGGAAUUACUGGGCGUAAAGCGUGCGCAGGCGGUUUUGUAAGACAGGCGUGAAAUCCCCGGGCUUAACCUGGGAAUGGCGCUUGUGACUGCAAAGCUGGAGUGCGGCAGAGGGGGAUGGAAUUCCGCGUGUAGCAGUGAAAUGCGUAGAUAUGCGGAAGAACACCGAUGGCGAAGGCAAUCCCCUGGGCCUGCACUGACGCUCAUGCACGAGG
rnacentral:rRNA from 1 species